rnacentral:tRNA from 1 species
UGGAAGAUGGUGUAGGAUUGGUAGCACACGUGUCUUUGAAAACCGUAGUUCAGGUUCAAGUCCUGAUCUUCCCC